UUACGAGACAACAAUAACAGAGUUUAAGACGUUUUCCCUUACUCUACCCAAACGACUUGCUUUGCUUUGGCGUGUAAGGCUGGAACAGCUGGCGCCUGCCGCAGGCACAAAGUUACACCACAACUCUUGCAGGUUCUGCAAGAACCUUCUACAAGGCUCUGUGUAUAUAUCAGACAGUAAAACCAGGACGGAGUAUAAUCUGCUAAAAUCCUUCUAUAAGCCAAUUAAAACAGGAAAGGAUUUUUAAAAGAGAAUUAAUCAAAGGGCAAACACAGCGCAAAGCUGAAACAAAAUACUAUGGAUGCAAAUACCUAAGAUCCAGUGCUGCAGUUUCAGCCAAGUACAAAUGGUCACUGCUGGCAUGGCAUUUCAAAAAGAAAAAGAAAAAAAGGAAAAAAAAAAGAAAAAA